rnacentral:rRNA from 1 species
AUUGAACGCUGGCGGCAUGCUUUACACAUGCAAGUCGAACGGCAGCGCGGGCUUCGGCCUGGCGGCGAGUGGCGAACGGGUGAGUAAUGCAUCGGAACGUGCCCAGUAGUGGGGGAUAGCCCGGCGAAAGCCGGAUUAAUACCGCAUACGACCUGAGGGUGAAAGCGGGGGACCGAAAGGCCUCGCGCUAUUGGAAUGGCCGAUGUCGGAUUAGCUAGUUGGUGGGGUAAUGGCUUACCAAGGCGACGAUCCGUAGCUGGUCUGAGAGGACGACCAGCCACACUGGGACUGAGACACGGCCCAGACUCCUACGGGAGGCAGCAGUGGGGAAUUUUGGACAAUGGGGGCAACCCUGAUCCAGCCAUGCCGCGUGCGAGAAGAAGGCCUUCGGGUUGUAAACCGCUUUUGUUCGGGAAGAAAUCCUCUGGGCUAAUACCCCGGGGGGAUGACGGUACCGGAAGAAUAAGCACCGGCUAACUACGUG